rnacentral:rRNA from 1 species
GGAAUAUUGGUCAAUGGGCGCAAGCCUGAACCAGCCAAGUAGCGUGAAGGAUGACUGCCCUAUGGGUUGUAAACUUCUUUUGUUUGGGAAUAAAGUGAGGCACGUGUGCCUUUUUGUAUGUACCUUACGAAUAAGCAUCGGCUAAUUCCGUGCCAGCAGCCGCGGUAAUACGGAAGGUCCGGGCGUUAUCCGGAUUUAUUGGGUUUAAAGGGAGCGCAGGCUGAAGAUUAAGCGUGACGUGAAAUGUCCCGGCUCAACCGUGGAACUGCGUCGCGAACUGGUUUUCUUGAGUGAGUACGACGUCAGCGGAAUUUGUGGUGUAGCGGUGAAAUGCUUAGAUAUCACGAAGAACCCCGAUUGCGAAGGCAGCUGACGAGUCCUUUACUGACGCUAAAGCUCGAAGGUGCGGGUAUCGAACA